UGACCGUUGUAUUGCACCUUGUCAAAUAGCUGUUCAGAUAUGUUUAAGAUGCAAUUUUUCUUUGGAGUUCUUUUCGCAAUAAUUCUUAUGUCAAAGCACGUCAGUUCAAACGCUGAAAUCCAGGAAAAGGAAUCUGCACAUCUCAGCAACGACUAUGAUUGUAUCGAUCUUAAACCUCGCAUAUGUGCGGCUUUAGUCCCUCGCUGUUCAGAUGUCAGAAACAUAGCUUUCCUAUACACGAACUGCAAAAGAACUUGUACUUUCUGCUGAAAGAUGGUAAGCGUCCUGAAUAAGAUCACAGGACUUGCAGAAGCUGAUCUAAGCAAUCAAGAUGCUUAGAUAUUCAAAGAUUCUGCCCAUCAAACCACAUCACAGUUUUACAACACAAGAAAGUUUUGCUCGUAAAUGAUGAUAACUG